rnacentral:rRNA from 1 species
UACGUAGGGUGCAAGCGUUGUCCGGAAUUAUUGGGCGUAAAGAGCUUGUAGGCGGUUUGUCGCGUCUGCUGUGAAAUUUCGGGGCUCAACCCCGAACUUGCAGUGGGUACGGGCAGACUAGAGUGUGGUAGGGGAGACUGGAAUUCCUGGUGUAGCGGUGAAAUGCGCAGAUAUCAGGAGGAACACCGAUGGCGGAGGCAGGUCUCUGGGCCAUAACUGACGCUGAGAAGCGAAAGCGUGGGGAGCAAACAGG